AAAGCAGGCUGCCUGCCCUAGCAGUAGCAACUUGCUCAGAUUUAUGUUUCCGUAGUGUGGGAGCUUUGUUCUUUCACUGUUUGCGGUGCCAUUCCAUAUAAAGUGAAGGAUAACGGCUACAGCAUUUUUUGUUAGACUUGGACAAUGUUGAAUGUACUACAGAAGCAUACUUUAAGGAUAUCUCUCUGUCGGCUAGGCUGGAGUGUAGUGGUGUG
rnacentral:lncRNA from 1 species